UGGUUCUGGCAUCGAUGAAGAACGCAGCGAAAUGCGAUAAGUAAUGUGAAUUGCAGAAUUCAGUGAAUCAUCGAAUCUUUGAACGCACAUUGCACCCUUUGGUAUUCCGAAGGGUACACCUGUUCGAGCGUCAUUAAAUUCUUCAAGCUUAUGCUUGGUAUUGGUUAAGGUCUCUUUUGGACCUUCCCAUAACUUAUUAGACAAAACUUUUUUAACUUUAAACGUAACAAGAAAACUUCAUCGUUUGUUGUUAAAAAAGUUUCUUGUCUGUUAAUUUGACUCUUUCAAUCUUGACCUCGGAUCAGGUGAGGAUACCCGCUGA
rnacentral:misc_RNA from 1 species